rnacentral:rRNA from 1 species
AAACUAAAAAGGAUUCCCCUAGUAACGGCGAGCGAACCGGGAAGAGCUCAAAUUUAAAAUCUGGCGUUCUUUGAGCGUCCGAGUUGUAAUCUAUAGAGGCGUUUUCUGUGCUGGACCGUGUCCAAGUUCCUUGGAACAGGAUAUCAAAGAGGGUGACAAUCCCGUAUUUGACACGAUACCCAGUGCUCUGUGAUACGCUCUCGACGAGUCGAGUUGUUUGGGAAUGCAGCUCUAAACGGGUGGUAAAUUCCAUCUAAAGCUAAAUAUUGGCGAGAGACCGAUAGCGAACAAGUACCGUGAGGGAAAGAUGAAAAGCACUUUGAAAAGAGAGUGAAACAGUAUGUGAAAUUGUUGAAAGGGAAACGAUUGAAGUCAGUCGUGUCUUGAGGGGUUCACUUGUUUUCUAGCAAGGUAUUCCCCUCUUGAUGGGUCAACAUCAGUUAGAUUCGGUGGAUAAGAGCAGAGAGAACGUAGCUCCCCCGGGAGUGUUAUAGCUUUUUGUUGCAUACACUGGACUUGACUGAGGAACGCAGCUCGCCGCAAGGCUUGGCUUUGGCCAAAUACGAGCUUAGGAUGUUGGCAUAAUGGCUUUAAACGACCCGUCUUGAACCACGGACCA